UUUUGCGGUGGGCGUGCAGGGCAGCCUUCGGGCUGGCCGGGUUUCCUUGAUCCCCGGUUCGCCAACCCUGCACGUCCGCCACCUUG
rnacentral:antisense_RNA from 1 species